UACAGAGACUGCAAGCGUUAUUCGGAUUUACUGGGCGUAAAGGGCGCGUAGGCGGCCAGCGCAAGUCAGUUGUGAAAUCUCCGGGCUUAACUCGGAAAGGUCAACUGAUACUGCGCGGCUAGAGUGCAGAAGGGGCAACUGGAAUUCUCGGUGUAGCGGUGAAAUGCGUAGAUAUCGAGAGGAACACCUGCGGCGAAGGCGGGUUGCUGGGCUGACACUGACGCUGAUGCGCGAAAGCCAGGGGAGCGAACAGG
rnacentral:rRNA from 1 species